rnacentral:tRNA from 1 species
UCCCUGGUGGUCUAGUGGUUAGGGCUCAGGUGCUUUCACUGCCAAGGGCCUGGGUUCAAUCCCUGGUCAGGGAA